GAAAGAAUUCACUUAAUAAGCUAAAUAUUACCUUUUGUAUAAGGGUUAAACAACAAUUUAAUAAAAUUAUUAUUCCCGAAAAAAUAAGAUCUAAUUACAACUAGUUUAUAGUACUUAAAAACAUUUAGUGUAGCAUUACUAAAUCAAAAGUUGUAUUUAGGGAUGAAAUGUUUUCAAUUAUUUUGAUAUCUGGAUUCAGUAAAAAUAUAUAUAGUAUAAAUGACAGUUUUUUAGUGGUGAGAUUAAAAAAUUAAAGAAUUUUUUUAAAAAUUUUUAAUUAAGUUAAAAUUUAGUUUAAUAAUGCGAAAAUUAAUUAAUAACUUAUCUUUAUUUUAUACUGAUGUUUUGUCAAACUUUGACAAAGUUAACAAUGUUUAAAUUAGUAAUAGAAAUAAAUUAAAGGAACUCGACUUUAUUCAUCGUCUGUUUAUCAAAAACAUAUCCUGGAGUUUUAUUCCAGGUGAUGCCUGCCCGGUGUAUUAAUUAACGGCCGCAGUACUCUGACUGUGCUAAGGUAGCAUAAUUCGUUGGCUUUUAAUUGGAGUCUGUAUGAAUGGCUAAACGUUGAAUCUCUGUCUCUUUUUUAUUUGUUGAAUUUAUUAACUAGGUGAAAAUACCUAGAAUUUGAGGAAAGACGAGAAGACCCUAAGAAUUUAAAUAUCGUUUUGUUGGGGUAACAUUGAGACAGAAAAAUUCUCAACUAUAAAUAAUUAAAUCCGAUUUUUCGUAUAAAAAUAAAUUACCUUAGGGAUAACAGCAUAAUUUAAUAUAAGUUUGUGACCUCGAUGUUGGACUAAGGUUUCUUAGAUUAAAAGUUUAAGUAUUUUGCUCUGUUCGAGCAGUUAACCUUACAUGAUCUGAGUUCAGACCGGCGUAAGCCAGGUCAGAUUCUAUCUUCCAUUUUUUAAGAUUAGUACGAAAGGACCAUCUUAUUCUUUUUAAGU
rnacentral:rRNA from 1 species